rnacentral:lncRNA from 1 species
AAAAAUAUUAAUCUAUUAGAGAGUGUCCACAGGGGGGUAACAAAGAUGGUGAAGGGCCUUGAGGGGAAGCUGUAUGAGGAACAGCUGAGGUCACUUGGUUUGUUCAGCCUGGAGGAGACUGAGGGGAGACCUCAUUGCAGUUACAGAUUCCUUGUGAGAGGAACAGGAGGGGCAGCUCUCUGAUUUCUGCUCUCUGGUGACCAGUGACACUCCCAAGGGAAUGGUCUGAAGUUGUGUCAAAAUCACAAAAUACUCUUCCACAAAAGUUGCUCUCCUUAUGCACACAAAUGCUCAAUGGAAAAUGCUUGCUGAAACUAAAUCCUGAGUGUGAUGGGAAAAGAGACUGUGCAGAUGGAUCAGAUGAAAUGAACUGUGAUGUGGUCAUCUUGCCAAAACACUGCAGGAAGCUCGAGUGAGAAUGAUUAACCAAAGUGUUUGUAACAAGCUCUAUGAUGAUCUUAUUCCUUCACGUAUGCUGUGUGCUGGGAAGCUUAAUGGUAGUGUUGAUGCAUGCCAGGGAAAUUCUGGAAGUGUGCAGAAUCUCCUUGUGCACCUUGGCC